rnacentral:lncRNA from 1 species
AAGUUGAGAGCAAAUCUUGGGAAAAAGAAGAGAGUUUUGAAGGUGAAGGUGAAGGGGUUUGUGGGAAAUUCGGGAAGGGAAGGAAAACGAGGGAAGAGGAUUAAGGCGUGAAGAGGGAGAAGAAGAAGAAAAUAUAGGUAAGUGAAGGUAAGAAGGGGAAAUGAGAGAAAGAGGCAUGGUGAAAGUGAGAGUAACGAAUGGGAAGAGAAGAGAAUCUCACACACAAAAUGGGACCGCAGACGCAGAGGAUGAAUAAAAGCACGAUGGGAAAACGGUGGAUGGGAAAUAAUAUUGUGGCUACUAAAUAUUUUCUCAAAUUUCUCUUAAUUUUCAAUUUUUUUAUCUCAUGAAUAUGAGUUUUUUUAUGAAAUAACCUCUUUUAAAAAAAAAUCCAAUCUACUAUAGUUUUUUAGAAAACAAUACAUUUUUUUAAAAAUGGGAAAAUAAAAAGAAAAAAACAAAUUCAGAAAAUUAUCUAGAAAAUAAGGUCAGAAAAUUAUCUAGAAAGUAAAGUCUAGCAUCAGUUAGUAGGAGCGUGACUAUUCAAAUAUGAGGUUCCGCAAAAGACCGGUAUGUCACAUCAUUACUUGUUUCAUAUUUUGCUAGGUAAUUGGAGUCGCUAUCGAGGUUUCGAAUCGGAUAACGAGGAAACCGGGACUGAACAAAAGAAUGCCCUCACCCUCAAAAGGGAGAGAGAAAUGGAAAAUUAGAAGAGUCGACACCGAAUUUUAUUUUGAUUUCCUCUAUGGGAGAGAACAGAGGAAAUAGUCGAUAAAACUCUCGAAAGAAAAAGGUGUGCACAUGAAGCGCAAAGGUACGGAUAAAGAAUCGGUCUUGCAACCGAGACUUGGGUUCGGAAGUCGGUUACGCAAGGAAAAGGUAUUAGCACCCCUCACGUCCAUAGUACUCCAUGGGAAUCAUUUGGGUUGUUUACGUAUGUGGGUAUUUAUUUAUUUAUUUAUAUUUACUCUUAUUUGCAAAAAUGAGUGUGAAAGAGAUUGUUUUGGGUUUUUUAUUAUUGUGCUUGUCAAGUAUUGUGGCCCUUGUGCCUACGUAUCACUCAUUUGGUGAUGAGGAAUCAAAGCUCCGUAGUUUAGUGUAGAAAGUGUUUGUGUGUUGGUUGAUUUUACCUUUGAGAAAAUGGUUUUCGGGGUGGUGCCUUAAGGCACAAAAAAUAAGGUUUGAUGGGUUGUAUUGUUUUUACCUUGAAUAAGGGUUUACGAAAAAAGAGUUUGUGAUUAGAUUGUACUAAAGUCUAUGGGCGGAGGUGAAAAUUCUAGACAACAAGUCAAACGUCUUGCGUCCAAAAUAAUCAGAGUAAGGGUAGGAAAGCUCCAUUCUUACUUAUUCUCCACCACUUAAGAUUCAUGGUGCACAAUGCUAAUCGUAGUUUUAAUGUAUUUUGAAUUUGAUUAGGAAAAUGUCACUUGAUGUUGGAUGAUUGAUUUGUUUAUUUGAUUCGGAAAUUGGGUAAUGUAACAAGUAUACAAAGUAACCAACAAGAAAAUAAAUAAUCUCAUUGUAAGGUAGCCCAAGAGAAAGUUUUCUGCGUGCAAAAGUAACAUAAGCUAAACAAAGGAUAUCUAUAUAAAUAAAUGUAUGUAUAUAUAAAUAAAUGUAUAUUUAUAUAUAAAUAUAUAUAUAUAUAUAUAUAUAUAUAUAUAUAUAUAUAUAUAUAUAUAUAUAUAUAUAUAUAUAUAUAUAUAUANNNNNNNNNNNNNNNNNNNNNNNNNNNNNNNNNNNNNNNNNNNNNNNNNNNNNNNNNNNNNNNNNNNNNNNNNNNNNNNNNNNNNNNNNNNNNNNNNNNNNNNNNNNNNNNNNNNNNNNNNNNNNNNNNNNNNNNNNNNNNNNNNNNNNNNNNNNNNNNNNNNNNNNNNNNNNNNNNNNNNNNNNNNNNNNNNNNNNNNNNNNNNNNNNNNNNNNNNNNNNNNNNNNNNNNNNNNNNNNNNNNNNNNNNNNNNNNNNNNNNNNNNNNNNNNNNNNNNNNNNNNNNNNNNNNNNNNNNNNNNNNNNNNNNNNNNNNNNNNNNNNNNNNNNNNNNNNNNNNNNNNNNNNNNNNNNNNNNNNNNNNNNNNNNNNNNNNNNNNNNNNNNNNNNNNNNNNNNNNNNNNNNUAUAUAUAUAUAUAUAUAUAUAUAUAUAUAUAUAUAUAUAUAUAUAUAUUUAUUUAUUUAUAACAGUGACAUAUUAGUGUAAACUUUUUUUUAAGUUAUUUAAUUGCUAACAUUUAUCUUUUAAAGAUGAAUAAGUGAAAUGUUGUAGAUUCAAAUCUGCAACCAUACAAAUGAUAUUUCUGCAUAACUAUCAACUGAAUUGAUUUAUCAAAACAAUCCCUUUUAUUUAAGAGUACUCUCUUCGGUCCUUACUAUAACAAAAAAAACAUUUUUAAUCAAUAAAACCGGAAAAAUAUGUUUUUUUACAACUUAAAGAGUAUUUUUAAGCUAAAAGUUCCAUCCUAGGCCUCUUUAUAAUUAAGGUUGAUUAGAUCAGUUUGCGUACUAAAGAACACACAAGUUUUAAGAAAGAUGUUUAUAGUUCAAACCUUGAAAACUAAUAUACUAACCACUAAUUCAGUAAUACUAUUUUAUUAUAAAAAUUAAAAGGUAGGUAUAUAUCAAUUACCUCUUGACAUUAGUUUUAAUUAUAGUGUAGUACUCUUAAACUUAAGUACCUAUUGCAUUGGCCAAAUUCACAUGUUUGAUCAAUAGACCCGAGUCACAAAACAAGGGAAUAAUUUUGAGUAAAGGGAAAGUAGGCACAUUCUAAGCAAAUCACAUUGUACUUGCAGAACAACAGAUGAUGUUCAAAUCAGGUACCAAAGAAACAAACAAAUUCAACAUGUACCUAAACAAUGCUAUUCAAAGAAGAUCCAGGAUAGAAGGUGGAACAUUCAUUACUAGAUAUUGCAAGAGAAAGUAAAUCAAGUAUUUACACGAAGAACUCAGUAAUGUUGAGCAGCCGAACAAGAUAACCUGAAAUUUUAACCAAAAUUCAACAUGACAUUGACAAGAAAAGUUUAUCUCUCAAUUGAGCAUCCUCUCAAUUGCAGACACAUAAAACUCCUUUGGCAUGGUGCCAACUACGACGUCAAAUUUCUUGCCAUUCUUAGACAAUAAAACCACUGGUACAACGUUAAUUUCAUACUCUUCAGCAAUUUGCUUAUCAGCGUCUGUGUUGAGUACAAAGCACUUGAGUCUUCCAGCAUACUCUGUUGCAACCUCAUCAAUAACUCGGUGUACCAUCCUGCACGGGCCACACCAGUUUGAAUAAAACUCAACAAUGACUGGGGUUUCACUUUUCAGAAUCGAGUUAUCCCACAGGUCCUUGUUAACUGGUGUAGCUGCAGGGCAACAAAGUCGCAUAAAUUAAAAGACCAUCAUAUAAUGAUUCAAAGUUCAAUAUUCAUUGACAUUGCAAAAUUCACAAAAUUAAAACCUUUGCAGGAAGAAACAUUUAUACUUAAGUAUGCUUCAAAAAUCCUUUGCAAUACAGCUAGCAACUUAAACUAAGAAUCAGUAAAGUGAUCAAUAAGGCCUUGCAAAUUUUCUGAAAAUGAAACUACGCAAGUGAUAAAAAGAUCAUAUUGAUCUUUAGGUUUAUGAUGCUCCUAAUCUAUAGUUACAACUUAUAAGAAUAUAUCAGCAUGAUCGGUUAUCUCAUGUCCUUUCAUUCGUCUACUCUACUAGCUAUUUUGGGCACAAAACAAUUCACAGCAAUCAAGUUUUGUAAAACUACACCUCAACUCAAAUGACUAAAGCUUUUAUGACAGCAACAUUGAUGAAUAUGAAUAUUGGCAUAUUCAUUUCUUACAAUAAAACAUAUUAUUAACCUCACACUGAACAUCCAUGAUCCAAAAUGACAGAAAUAUUUAUAGAAACUUGAUUCAUCUUAGCUCUUCAGAUUAUAAAUAAGUACUUGAGUNAGAGGAAAACUAACCUCUUCCUAACCAAUUCACAUUACGAAGAGUUUAGCAAAUAACUUCUUUCUCGUUAGAACUUCUAAAACCACUCUCAAAUGCUCAGCAUGCUCUUCUUCAGAUUGUUCGUAAUACACCCAAAAUGUCAUUCAAUAAAAACACCACAACAAACUGGUCUAGGUACGGAUUGGCGAAAAUUCCUAAGUUCAUAUACUCCGAUGAAUACUCCAGGCGCAUUAGUCACACCAAAAGGCAUUACAGGAAUACUCAUAACUGUCCUACCUUGUCCUGAAAGCAGCCGGUCUUUCUGAAUUAUCCUCAGUUUUUUUCACACGUAUCUGAUGAUACCCAGAAUCUCAAAUCUAUUUUUUGCUUGAAGCACACUCGCACCAACAACUGGUCCAUCAGAUCAUCAAUCCUCGCUGUAAAGGAUAUACCGAUUCUGAUCGUCACUUUGUUCAGUUGCCUGUAGUCCACACACAACCUCAUAGUACCUUCUCUUCUUAACCUAAUAACACUGGUGCCACCCCACGUUGACACACUCGGACGAAUAAACUUCAUUAUCCAACAGAUCUUCCAACUCGACUCUUCAAUUCUAGUUAAAUUCAACAGCCCAGCCAUUACAGCGUACUGGAGCCAUCGAUAUCGGUCUCAGUAACAGGUUACCAAAUCAAUCAGAACUCAACUUCACGCUCUGGCGGCAAUUUCAUUCACUUUCUUCAGGAAACACAUCCAGGAAAAAUCACACAGCCACUGCUACGAUCGCCAAUUCACCAGUUUAUCCUCUCUAGCUCCAGAGUCGCUAACAGCAUAAACACUCCGCCCAUCUGCUCUUCCUCAUUCAUCCUGCCUGGCCUGAUCCGAAAACAAACUCUUUCCUUCCUCAACCUCAGGGCGAGAAAAAAAAUCACAGUCUUAUCAAAACACGUUGAUAUAAACUCUGGAGUUAAACACUCCCAAACAGCUUCAUGACCCAGAUAUAACAUUUCCAAUCCCUGCCACUAUAUGAUGAAGGACACACGAGGUCAUCCAAAGUCUCUACCAAAAUACUCAAGUCCGACAACUCAAACAAACUGAGUAGUUAGUAGUCACUUGAACCUUCGCCCCUAGGAGUAUCAAUCACCUACUAUCCCAUACAUUCUCAAGAUUAUCUCUACUAAGUUUCACUAGGCACAAUCAAAAGAUAUAAAGGAAUGGUUUGCCACCUGUGUCUAAUUAAUAGCUAACAACGAGCGCGCCAUUACAUAUAUCCACACGCUUCUCACCUCGGAUCAAACGAUCACUCCAUGCAGAAGUCUCAGAACCGUCCAUAAAGCAAAGAGCCUUGCCUUCCCCGACUGGGGUUCUCUCUCUUCGGUUAGACACUGUGGCACUGAUAUGACCCACCUCUCCACAGUGAAACAAUGUUUACAGUCUUCAACCGGCACUCUUGCAGCACAUGCACCCACCUUUGCACACUUGAAAACACUUCAUCUCAGCAACUUUGGUACAUACUCUAUGGACACGAUGUCCAGCCGGACCACAUUCUAUAAACACUUUAGCAGGGCACUAUUAGUCUCCGCACCUUGCUCUUUCUGUCAUCCACUCUGUCUCUGAAACCUUUGCCGACCUGCAUUUAUUGGCCACGAUCAUUCUGAUUCUUGGGCCUUUUCCUAUCAACCCUUUGCUGGGAUAGCUCUCUGCUUGGCUUGGAAUCUCGUUUCAAAAAUCCUGCAUACAAUCAACCAAGUCAGGAAAACACUCUGAUCCGUUGGUAUCCAAUAGCCUUGCUUGAUCUCGGACGCAAACCCGUUCUCAAACUUCAACACUAUUUCGAAAAUUCUCCAGGCAGCUCAUUAUAUGGGAGUGUAAUACCUUCGACAGCUCUGGUGACUCAGCCACAUUACUCCGUAACAGACUUGGGUUACCCUGGGCUUCAACACUUCUAAGAACUCUAUCUGUCUUUUUCCUCUGACAUCUUCUGGAAAGUCACUUCCUCUACGAAAUCUCUUCUCGUGAACACAGGCGCACGUCAAAUUUCUUCGCCCAUUCUUAGUACAUAAAAACCAACUGUGUACGAACGCGUAUACCUUCAUAUAGAUUUGUCAUUCCCAUCUAUACAUGUCUGUUUAUCAGGCGUCCCCCAGCAGUUUCCAAAUCCUCGCUGAGUUUGAGUAGCCAGGGAUUCAGUUCAGAGUCUUCCCCAGCCCAAUCUAUCCGUCUUGUUGUCCUAGCACAGUCAUCACUCCAAUAAUUCUCCGGGGUACCCGAACCUGACCUUCUUUGAGAUAUAUACGUGCCACACUCAGUCACUGGGACAGACUACUCGCCAGGGCCACGCUCUCUCGAAUACAAAUCCUCCAACCACUGCACUGGUCCACCAUUCUGGUUUACAUCCUUCUUCAGCCAUCUGAUCAAGAUCUCAUCUCCCUUGAUCAAGGUCCUUAGGCACUUACACUUGGUGUGAUCGUUAGCUGCAUGCGUCCUUGAAACAUUGGUGCCAGACGCAAUUUGUUCUUCUGGGAAAGUCGUCACUCAAAUAAAAGAUUAAAGACAUCAUAUAAUGAUCACGGUGUGAGCAACAGUGACUUUCCCCAUUGACAUUGCAAAAAUUUCCUCCAUAAAAACAUAUUAUAACUUCUCUCUGGCAGGAUGUUACCCUACCUAAUGUUACUCCUAAGUCACCUUAAGUUAUGCCUUCACACAAAAUUCACUUUGCAAUACCAGCUUGAGCAAAGCUUCUAACUAAGGUCAGUUAAAGUGAUAAUUUAACGGGCCUUGCUCCCAGUUCCUAUACUCCUGAAAACAUGAAACUACGGCAAGUGAUAAAAGAUCAUAUGAGUGCAUUCAUAGUGCUAUCCUAUAUACGCUACCUAAUGUAUGACUCUACACAAUCUCUUUAUCAAGUGAAAAUAUCCCCAGCAAUGCAAACUUUCCCAAGAGUAUAAUCAUACAUGUACCAUGUUCAUUCGUCUAUACUGUAGCUACCUGGUUUAAUUCUUGAAGCGACCUAACAUACCCAAGUUUCACGCCGGGAAUCACGAUGUUGUUAAAACUUAUAAAUAUACCCGUGAACACUCUCAGGUAGAACUAAAGUUUUCUAUGACAGCAACACUUGAGCUAUUUGCCUUCGAUAAUUGACAUACUGAAAUCUAUAUUGGUGUAAACACUCCCUUCAUUUCUUCUAAACAUUAUAACAUCUCCCAAUUUAUAAUUCCUUGUCAACAUUAACUGAACAAUAACCAUUAUAGAAAAUCCAUCAAAGUAUGACAGAAAUAUUUUAUAGAAACUUAGAUCAUCUUAGCAGUCUAGAUUAAUUUUAGAUCAAGGUCUUGUCAAAGUGACACCUCACACACUUCAAAAGCUAUCCAGCUGGCUAAAUUUAUAAGUUCAUGAACACCACACACAAAUCUCAAUGUAGCAUCACGAUACUCCUAGCCGAAAUUCAAAACGCGUAGUGUCUAUGUGUUAGUAUAACUGUCUGAAAUUGCACCGACACUUGUUUAGGUCAUGCCUUCUUAUUUUCAUAUGAUUUUCCAAAAACUUAUAAGCAUUUGUGUACACCGUAGUAACGCUGUUAGAAGGCGGAUAGAAAUCUCUAUCCUAAAUCUGUUGCUUAAAAGCAUGUAACAUAUUACAUGUUUGAAUUAUUUCAACAAAAUUAAAAACAUUUCCCAUCCCAUUGGUUACAUCUAUCAGAGCCACGACCCACUCAACGGGAGGUGUGUGUCUGUGUUUCCGGUUUCCGUGCUUCAUACUUCAUAGCUAACAAAUUUCACACACCUUUAAUAAAAAACUAAGAGAGAUUGGAAUAGGUAUAAAGAAUGAAAGUCAAACAAAAAAGUUUGAGCAAAAAAGGGCAAAAAAAAUAUUUGUAGCAUUACUAACUUAGGCAUAAAAAAGACACAGAAUUGGUCAAUAAUCAUCCAGAAACUCCAAAGCAAGAAAGCGUUACAAAUGCAAUUCAAGCCAUCCUAGAUUUUAAUUUUAAAUUUAUAAAAAUUCCAAAGGAUUAGAUCUUGAAUGCACCAUAAAAAAUAGAAUCUUGAUCCUAGCUCCAAAUAAAACCUAACUGAUUCAAAUCUCGUGUUUAUAUGUUUUUGGUUCGAAACACGAAACCCCAAAUUAAUCCGAAAAUAGUAAAGAAAAAUAUAUCAACUUUGGAAGUUCUUACUAAAUUGAUUACCGUAAAGAAUAAAGGAAAGAAAUACCUGUGGUUUGUUGAAGCAGGGAGUGAAUCUUGGGAAAAAGAAGAGAGUUUUAAAGGUGAAGGUGAAGGGGAUUGUGGGAAAUUCGGGAAGGGAAGGAAAACGAGGGAAGAGGAUUAAGGCGUGAAGAGGGAGAAGAAUAAGAAGAAAAUAUAGGUAAGUGAAGGUAAGAAGGGGAAAUGAGAUAAAGAGGCAUGGUGAAAGUGAGAGUAACGAAUGGGAAGAGAAGAGAAUCUCACACACAAAAUGGGAUCACAGACGUAGAGGAUGAAUAAAAGCACGAGGGGAAAACGGUGGAUGGGAAAUAAUAUUGCGGCUACUAAACAUUUUCUCAAAUUUCUCUUAGUUUUCUAUUUUUUCAUCUCAUGAAUAUGAGUUUUUUUAUGAAAUAACCUCUUUUUAAAAAAAAUCCAAUCUACUAUAGUUUUUUAGAAAACAAUAUAUAUUUUUUUAAAUGGGAAAAUAAAAAGAAAAAAAAACAUAGUCAGGAAAUUAUCUAGGAAAUAAGGUGAGAAAAUUAUCUAGAUAGUAAAGUAUAACAUCAGUUAGUAGGAGAGUGACUAUUCAAAUAUGAGGUUCCGCAAAAGACCAGUAUGUCACAUUAUUACUUGUUUCAUAUUUUGCUAGGUAAUUGGAGUCGUUAUCGGGGUUUCGAAUCAGAUAACGAGGAAACCGAGACUGAACAAAAGAAUGCCCUCACCCUUAAAAGGGGAGAGAAAUUGCAAAUUAGAAGAGUCGACACCGGAUUUUAUUUUGAUUUCCUCAAUGGGAGAGAAGAGGGGAAAUGGUCGAUAAAACUCUCGAAAGAAAAAGGUGUGCACGGGAAGCGCCAAGGUACGGAUAAAGAAUCGAUCUCGCAACCGAGACUUGGGUUCGGAAGUCGGUUACGCAAGGAAAAAGUAUUAGCACCCCUCACGUCCAUAGUACUCUAUGGGAACCAUUGUGUUAUUUACGUAUGUGGGCAUUUAUUUGUUUAUUUUUAUUUACUAUUAUUUGCAAAAAAGAGUGUGACAGAGAGUGUUUUGGGUUUUUUAUUAUUGUGCUCGUCAAGUAUUGUGGUCCUUGUGCCUACGUAUCACUCAUCAGGUGAUGAGGAAUCAGAGCUCCGUAGUUUGGAGUAGAAAGUAUUUAAGUGUUGGUUGAUUUUACCUUUAAAAAAAUGGUUUUCGGGGUGGUGCCUUAAGGCACAAAAAAUAAGGUUUGAUGGGUUGUAUUGUUUUUACCUUGAAUAAGAGUUUAUGAAAAACAGUUUGUGAUUAGAUUGUACUAAAGUCUAUGGACGGAGGUGAAAAUUCUAGACAACAAGUCAACUGUCUUGCAUCCAAAAUAAUCAGAGUAAGGAUAGGAAAGCUCCUUUCUUACUUAUUCUCCACCACUUAGGACUCGUGGUGCACAAUACUAAUCACAGUUUUAAUGUAUUUUGAAUUUGAUUAGGAAAAUGUCACUAGAUGUUGGAUCAAUGAUUAGUUUAUUUGAUUCUGAAAUUGCGUAAUGUAACGGAUAUACAAAGUAACCAACAAGGAAGUAAAUCGUCUCAUUGUAAGGUAGCCCAAGAGAAAGCCUUGUGCGUGCUAAAGUAACCUAAGCUAAACAGAUAUAUAUAUAUUAUAUAUAUAUAUUUUAAUAUCUUAUUAUAUAUAAUAUUUCAUAUAUAUUAUAAUAUUAUAUAUAUAUAUAUAUAUUAUAACAUAUAUUAUAUAUAUAUAUAAUAGAUUAUAUAUAAUAUUAAAUAGGAUAUAUAUUAUAUAUAUUUAUUUUAUAUAUAUCAGUUUAAUUGUAUAUCUAUUUAAUAUAUAUAUUUACAUAUUAUAUAUUUAUAUAUAUAUAUAUAUAAUAUUAUAUUGAUAUUUUUAAUUUACUGGAUAUAAGUAUAUAUAUAUUUUAUUAUAUAUAUAAUAUAUACUAUAUAUAUAAAUAUAUAUAUUUAUGAUAUAUAUUUAUAUAUAUAAUUAUAUUAUAUAUAUUAUUAUUAUAUAUAUAUAUAUAUAUAUAUUAUAUAUAUUAAGUAGAUAUAUUAUUUAAUAUAUUUAUUAAUAUAUAUAUAUAUAUAUAUACUAUAUUAUAUAUAUAUAUAUAUAUAUAUAUAUAUAUAUGAUAUAUUAUAUAUAUAUAUAUAUAUAUAUAUAUAUAAUAUAAUAUAUAUAUAUAUAUUAUAUUUAAUGAUAUUUAAUAUAUACUAUAUACUAUUAUAUAUAUAUAUAAUAUUAUAUAUAAUAUAAUUAAUAUAUAUAUUAUGUAUAUACUGUAAUAUAGUCGUAACUAUAUAAUUAUAGUAACUAUAUUUAUUUAUAUAUAAUAUUAUAUCUAUUACUAUAUUAUUAAAUAUUUAUAUAAUAUAAAUAGUAUAUACUAUUAUAAUAUUAUAUUAUAUAUUAUGAUAUUAUUACAGAAUAUAUUAUAUAUAUAUAUAUUAUAUAUAUAUAUAUGGUAUAUAUCUCGUAAAUAUAAUAUAUAUAUAUAUAUAUAUAUUAUAGUAUAUAAAUCAUAUAUAUAUCUAUUAUUGACUAUACGUAUAUUGAUAUGAUUAUAUAUAUAUUGUAUUAAGUAUAUUGUGAUCUGUAUUGAAAAAAGCUAACUUAUAAUAUAAAUAUUAUGGGAAACUAUAUAUACUACUAUACGUAAAAGUAUGUAUAAUAACUCAUAUAUAAUAUAGGGUAUAACCUCAUUGUAAGUUAACUAUUAUUUAUAUGAAUUGUGGGAUUAGUGUAUACUUUUUUUUAUAAGUUAUAAUGCAAAAUUUAUCUUUUAGAAUAGAUACGGUAUUUGCAGAUGUAAAUCUGGCAAUGUACUAAGCAAAGUAUUUCUGCAUAAUAUAAUGAUGAUCUAUUAGAACACAUACUUUUUAUUAUAGUACUCUUUCUUCUCUUAACAAAAAAUUUUUCAUAUCUGGAAAUUAUUUUUUAAUUAGAGUAUUUUUAGCAUAAAGUCUCUUUAGCUUCUUAUAUUAGGUUUGAUUAGGAUCGUUGGUACUAAAGAACAACAGUUUAGAAGAUGUGUUCUUGUUCAACCUUGAAUUCAAUAUACAAAUCACUUAUUUUUAUUAGAAUAUAAUUAGUAGGUAUAUAUCAUGUACUCUUCUGUAUCAAUUAAUAUCAUCAUAUGAGAAUUGAAUCUCAUUGCUAUCAUGCAUUGGCCAAAUCGCAUGCUUGAUCAAUGAGACCGCUGGUACAACAGGAAUAAUUUGAGGUAAUAGGAAGUAAGGCACAUUCAUAGCGAAAUCACAUUGUUACUGAGACAAAUUGUGUUCAAAUCAGGUACCAAAAAAACAAACAAUUCAACUGUACUAAACAAUGCUAUUCAAGAAGAUCUAGUGGAUGCAAGGUGAACAUUCGAAUUCUAGAUAAUUGCAAGAGAGAGUAGUAAUGUUCACGAGAAUCAUUAGUGAGCAGCCAGACAGAUACUAAUUUUAACCAAUUCAGACUGCCAUGACAACAAAAGUAUACUCUCAAUUGAGAUCCUCUACAUUUGAGCAAAAAUCUUGACAAAUUUGCAUGGUGCCAAGUAUUGCGUCACAAUUCUUUGCCAUCUUAAAAAACUAACAGCUGGAUACACCUAAUUUCAACUCUUUCAGCAUUUGUCAUAUCGUUUGUGUUGUGUACAAGCAUGGUCUUCCAGACGAUACUUCUGUUGCAACCUCAUCAUAACUGGCGGUGAACCAUACUCGCAUGGGCCACUUUCAUUUUAUUUACAUAUCCUCAUAGAACUCAUACAAGGCUGGUUUCACUUUAGAAUCGAGUUAUCCACAGGUCCUAUGUUGAAGACUGAGUUGUAGCUGGCAGGCACAAAGUCCAUGAAUUAAAAGACAUCAUAUAUGUCCAGUUCAAUCAUGCUGGAAUUGCAAAAUUCACAAAAUUUAACCUUUGCGUAAAGAAAAUUUUACUUAAGUAAUGCUUUAACAGCUUUGCAAUACACUCAGACGUCAAACUUAAGAAUCGUAAAAUGAUCAAUAAGGCUUGCAGAAAUUUUCUGAAUAAUUCAAACUACGCAGUUGAUAAAAGAUCAUAAUGAUCUUAGUUUAUGCUGCCUAUCUAUAGUUACAAAUUAUCAAAUACAUCAGCAUGAUCGUUAUCUUCUAUCCUCUCAUUCAUCUACUUACUAGCUAUUUGGGCACAAAACAAUUCACAGCAUCAAUAUGAAAAACUAACUCACUCAUAAUGAUUAAGCUUUUAUGACAGCAAAUGAUGAAUAUGAAUAUUGGCUAUUUAUUUCUUACAAUAAAACAUACCAUUAACCUCAAACUGAACAUCCAUGAUCCAAAAUGGACAGAAAUAUAUUAGAACUGAUUAUUUAGCUCUCAGAUUAUACAAGUACUUGAGUUACACCUCAACACUUCAAACAUUAUUACUGCAAUUCACUAUAAACUAUUGCAACAUAACUCUGAAAAAGGGUGUUAUGUCACGAUCUGAAAUUGACACGCGAAACUUGUACUGUAUUCAAUUUUUCAAUAUUAACGUGUAGAAUGUGAGUGGUGUUUCCGUUUCCGGUGUUUCAACUUAUAGGUACAAAUUUACCCUUAUAAAAACUAAGAGUAUUGAAUAGGUAUAAGAUGAAAUCAACAAAAAGUUUGAGCUAAAAAAGCAAAAUAAAAUAUUCUACAAAUUCUAACUUAGGCACAAUAAGACAAGAUGUCUAUAUCAUCAAAACUCCAAAGCAAGAAAGCGUUACAAAUGCAAUUCAAGCCAUCCUAGAUUUUAAUUUCAAAUUUAUAAAAAUUCCAAAGGAUUGGAUCUUGAAUGCACAAUAAAAAAUAGAAUCCUGAUCCUAGCUCCAAAUAAAACCUAACUGAUUCAAAUCUCGUGUUUAUAUGUUUUUGGUUCGAAACACGAAACCCCAAAUUAAUCCGAAAAUAGUAAAGAAAAAUAUAUCAACUUUGGCAUUUCUUAUUAAAUUGAUUAUCGUAAAGAAUAAAGGAAAGAAAUACAUGUGGUUUGUUGAAGCAGAAAGCGAAUCUUGGGAAAAAGAAGGGAGUUUUGAAGGUGAAGGUGAAGGGGUUUGUGGGAAAUUCGGGAAGGGAAGGAAAACGAGGGAAGAGGAUUAAGGCGUGAAGAGGGAGAAGAAUAAGAAGAAAAUAUAGGUAAGUGAAGGUAAGAAGGGGAAAUGAGAGAAAGAGGGAUGGUGAAAGUGAGAGUAACGAAUGGGAAGAGAAGAGAAUCUCACACACAAAAUGGGACCACAGACGUAGAGGAUGAAUAAAAGCACGAGAGGAAAACGGUGGAUGGGAAAUAAUAUUGCGGCUACUAAACAUUUUCUCAAAUUUCUCUUAAUUUUCUAUUUUUUCAUCUCAUGAAUAUGAGUUUUUUUUUAUGAAAUAACCUCUUUUUAAAAAAAAUCCAAUCUACUAUAGUUUUUUAGAAAAAAUUAUAUAUUUUUUUAAAUGGGAAAAUAAAAAGAAAAAAAAACAAAGUCAGAAAAUUAUCUAGAAAAUAAGGUCAGAAAAUUAUCUAGAAAGUAAAGUAUAACAUCAGUUAGUAGGAGAGUGACUAUUCAAAUAUGAGGUUCCACAAAAGACCAGUAUGUCACAUUAUUACUUGUUUCAUAUUUUGCUAGGUAAUUGGAGUCGCUAUCGGGGUUUCGAAUCGGAUAACGAGGAAAUCGAGACUGAACAAAAGAGUGCCCUUACCCUCAAAAGGGGAGAGAAAUGGCAAAUUAGAAGGGUCGACACCGAAUUUUAUUUUGAUUUCCUCAAUGGGAGAGAAGAGGGGAAAUGGUCGAUAAAACUCUCGAAAGAAAAAGGUGUGCACAGGAAGCGCCAAGGUACGGAUAAAGAAUCGAUCUCGCAACCGAGACUUGGGUUCGGAAGUCGAUUACGCAAGGAAAAAGUAUCAGCACCCCUCACGUCCAUAGUACUCCAUGGGAACCAUUUGUGUUGUUUACGUAUGUGGGUAUUUAUUUGUUUAUUUCUAUUUACUCUUAUUUGAAAAAAUGAGUGUGAAAGAGAGUGUUUUGGGUUUUUUAUUAUUGUCCUCGUCUAGUAUUGUGGCCCUUGUGCCUACGUAUCAUUCAUCGGGUGAUGAGGAAUCAGAGCUCCGUAGUUUGGAGUAGAAAGUGCUUGAGUGUUGGUUGAUUUUACCUUUGAAAAAAUGGUUUUCGGGGUGAUGCCUUAGGGCACAAAAAAUAAGGUUUGAUGGGUUGUAUUGUUUUUACCUUGAAUAAGAGUUUUCGAAAAACAGUUUGUGAUUAGAUUGUACUAAAGUCUAUGGGCGGAGGUAAAGAUUCUAGACAACAAGUCAACUGUCUCGCGUCCAAUAUAAUCAGAGUAAGGGUAGGAAAGCUCCAUUCUUACUUAUUCUUCACCACUUAAGACUCGUGGUGCAUAAUAAUAAUCACAGUUUUAAUGUAUUUUGAAUUUGAUUAGGAAAAUGUCACUAUAUGUUGGAUCAAUGAUUAGUUUAUUUGAUUCUGAAAUUGGGUAAUGUAACGGAUAUACAAAGUAACCAACAAGGAAGUAAAUCGUCUCAUUGUAAGGUAGCCCAAGAGAAAGCCUUGUGCGUGCUAAAGUAACAUAAGCUAAACAAAGGAUAUAUAUAUAUAUAUAUAUAUAUAUAUAUAUANNNNNNNNNNNNNAAUACAUGUGGUAAUUUGUUGGCAAGCAAAGCGAAUCUUGGGAAAAAAGAAGCGAGUUUUGACAGGUGAGAAGUGAGGGUUUGUGGGGAAAUUCGGAAGGAAGGAAAACGGAGGGAAGAGCAUUAGGCAACGUGAAGAGGGAGAAAGAAUAAGAAGAAAUAUAGGUAACGUGAGGUAAAGGGGAAAUGAGAGAAAGAGGGAUGGUGAAAGUGAGUAGAACGAAUGGGAACGAAGAAAGAAUCUCACACACCAAAAUCGGAGACCACAACGUAGAGGAUGAAUAAAACACGAGAGGAAACGGUGGAUGGGAAAUAAUAUUGCGCUACUAAAACAUUUUUCUUCAAUUUCUCUUUAAUUUUCUAUUUUUCAUCUUCAUGAAUAUUGAGUUUUUUUCUUAUGAAAUACCUCUUUUUAAAAAAAAUCCAAUCUACUAUAGUUUUUUUUAGAAAAAAAUUAUAUAUUUUUUAAAUGGAAAUAAAAAGAAAAAAACAAAGUCAAGAAAAUUUCUAGAAAAUAAGGUCAGAAAAUUAUCUAGGAAAGUAAAGUAUAACACAGUUAGUGGAGAGUGACUAUUCAAAUAUAGUUCCACAAAAGACCAGUAUGUCCACAUAUUACUUGUUUCAACUAUUUUGCUAGGAAAUUGGGUCGCUAUCGGGUUUCGAAUCGGAUAACGGAGGGAAAUCGGACUGAACAAGGUGCCCUACCCUCAAAAGGGAGAGAAAUGGCAAAUUCAGAAGGCGAAACCGAAUUUAUUUUGAUUUCCCAAUGGGAGAGCAAGAGGGGAAAGGUCGAUAAAACUCAUCGAAAGAAAAAGGUGUGCACAGAAGCGCCAAGGACGGAUAAAGAAUGCGAUCCUAGCAAGCCGAAGACUGGGUGCGGAAGUCGAUUACGCCAAGGAAAAGAUAUCAGCACCCUCACGUCCAUAGUACUCCAUGGAACACCAUUGUGGUUGUUUACGUAUGUGAGUAUUUAUUUUUUAUUAUCUACUUACUCUUAAUUUCGAAAAAUGCACAGUGUGAAAGAGAGUGUUUGGGUUUUUUUAUUAUUGUCCUCGUCUAGUAUUGUGGCCCUUGUGCCUACGUAUCAUUCAUGGGUGAUGAGGGAAUCAAGAGCAUCCAAGUACGUUGAGUAGAAAAGUGCUUGAGUGUUGGUUGAUUUUACCUUUGGAAAAAAAUGGUUUUCGGGCGUAUGCCUUAGGGCACAAAAAAUAGGUUGAUGGGUUGUCAUUGUUUUUAACUUGAAUAAGAGUUUCGAAAACAGUUUGUGAAUUAGAAUGUACUAAGUCUAAUGGGCGGGUAAAGAUUCUAAACAACAAUCAACUGUUCUCGCGUCCAAUAUAAAUCAGAGUUAAGGUAGGAAAGUCCAUUCUUACUUAUUCUCUCAACCACUUAAGAACUCGUGUGGCAUAAUAAUAAUCACAGUUUAAUUGAUAUUUUGAAUUGAUUAGAGAAUAUGUCACUAUAAAUGUUGGAUCAAUGAUUAGUUUUAUUUGAUUCUGACAAUUGGGUAAAUGUACGUAUACAAAGUAAACCAACAAGGGAAGUAAAUCGUCUCAUUGUAAGGUUAAGCCCAAGAGAAAAGCCUUGUCGUGCUAAUAACAUAAGCUAAACAAAGUAAUAUUAUAUUAUAUUAUAAUAAUAUAUAUAUAUAGUUAUAUAUAUAUAUAUAUAUAAUAAUAUUAUAAUAUAUAUAUAUAUAUAAAUACUAUAAUAUAUAUAUAUAAACUUAUAAAAUAUAUUUUUAUAAUAGUGGCAUAUUAGUGUAAACUUUUUUUUAAGUUAUUAAAUUGCUAAAAUUUAUCUUUUAAAGAUGAAUAAGUGAAAUGUUGCAUAUUAAAAUUUGCAAUCAUACAAAUGAUAUUUCUGCAUAACUAUCAACUGAAUUGAUUUAUCAGAACAAUCCUUUUUAUUUAAUAGUACUCUCUUCGGUCCUUACUAUAACAAAAAAAAACAUUUUUAAUCAAUAAAAUCGGAAAAAUAUUAUUUUUUACAACUUAAAGAGCAUUUUUAAGCUAAAAGUUCCAUCUUAGGCCUCUUUAUAAUUAAGGUUGAUUAGAUCAGUUUACGUACUAAAGAACACACAAGUUUUAAGAAAGAUGUUUAUAGUUCAAACCUUGAAAACUAAUAUAUAACCACGAAUUCACUAAUACUAUUUUAUUAUAAAAAUUAAAAGGUAGGUAUAUAUCAGUUACCUCUUCUGUAAUCAAAAUUAAUAUCACAUCAUGAGAAUUUGAAUUCAUGCUAUUGCAUUGGCCAAAAUCGCAUGCUUGAUCAAUAGACCUGAGUCACAAAACAAGGGAAUAAUUUUGAGUAAAGGGAAAGUAAGCACAUUCUAAGCAAAUCACAUUGUACUUGCAGAACAAAAUAUGUUGUUCAAAUCAGGUACCAAACAAACAAACAAAUUUAACAUGUACCUAAACAAUGCUAUUCAAAGAAGAUAUGGGAUAGAAGGUGGAACAUUCAUUACUAGAUAUUGCAAGAGAAAGUAAAUCACGUAUUUACACGAAGAACUCAGUAAUGUUGAGCAGCCAGACAAGAUAACCUGAAAUUUUAACCAAAAUUCAACAUGACCUUGACAACAAAAGGUUAUCUCUCAAUUGAGCAUCCUCUCAAUUGCAGACAGUAUUUACACGAAGAACUCAGUAAUGUUGAGCAGCCAGACAAGAUAACCUGAAAUUUUAACCAAAAUUCAACAUGACCUUGACAACAAAAGGUUAUCUCUCAAUUGAGCAUCCUCUCAAUUGCAGACACAUAAAACUCCUUUGGCAUGGUGCCAACUAUGGCGUCAAAUUUCUUGCCAUUCUUAAACAAUAAAACCACUGGUACAACCUUAAUUUCAUACUCUUCAGCAAUUUGCAUAUCAGCGUUUGUGUUGUGUACAAAGCACUUGAGUCUUCCAGCAUACUCUGUUGCAACCUCAUCAAUAACUCGGUGUACCAUCCUGCAUGGGCCACACUAGUCUGCAUAGAACUCAACAAGGACUGGGGUUUCACUUUUUAGAAUCGAGUUAUCCCACAGGUCCUUGUUAACUGGUGUAGCUGCAGGGCAACAAAGUCGCAUAAAUUAAAAGACCAUCAUAUAAUGAUUCAAAGUUCAAUAUUCAUUGACAUUGCAAAAUUCACAAAAUUAAGACCUUUGCAGGAAGAAACAUUUAUACUUAAGUAUGCUUUAAAAAGCCUUUGCAAUACAACUAGCAACUCAAACUAAGAAUCAGUAAAAUGAUCAAUAAGGCCUUGCAAAUUUUCUGAAAAUGAAACUACGCAAGUGAUAAAAAGAUCAUAAUGAUCUUUAGGUUUAUGAUGCUCCUAAUCUAUAGUUACAAAUUAUCAGAAUACAUCAGCAUGAUCGGUUAUCUCCUAUCCUCUCAUUCAUCUACUCUACUAGCUUAUUUGGGCACAAAACAAUUCACAGCAAUCAAAUUAUGAAAAACUAAACCUCAACUCAAAUGAUUAAAGCUUUUAUGACAGCAACAUUGAUGAAUAUGAAUAUUGGCAUAUUUAUUUCUUACAAUAAAACAUACCAUUAACCUCAAACUGAACAUCCAUGAUCCAAAAUGACAGAAAUAUUUAUAGAAACUUGAUUCAUCUUAGCUCUUCAGAUUAUAAACAAGUACUUGAGUGACACCUCACAACACUUCAAAACUAUUACUGCUAAAUUCACAAUAACACACUAUGUAGCACAUAUACUCUGGAAAAAAAGGUGUGUCUAUGUGUCAGUAUCUGAAAUUGACACCGACACUUGUUUACUGUAUUCAAUUUUUCAAAUUAUUAACGGUGUAGAAGUGUGAGUGUUGUGUUUCCGGUUUCCGUGUUUCAUACUUCAUAGGUAACAAAUUUACACACCUUAAUAAAAACUAAGAGUGAUUGAAUAGGAUAAGAAUGAAAAUCAAACAAAAAAGUUUGAGCAAAAAGGGCAAAAUAAAAAUAUUCGUAGCAUUACUAACUUAGGCACAAUAAAGACACAGAAUUAGUCUAUAAUCAUGCCAAAAUCCAAGAAGAAAGCGUUACAAAUGCAAUUCAAGCCAUCCUAGAUUUUAAUUUCAAAUUUAUAAAAAUUCCAAAGGAUUGGAUCUUGAAUGCACAAUAAAAAAUAGAAUCUCACACAGGUAAGUGAAGGUAAGAAGGGGAAAUGAGAGAAAGAGGCAUGGUGAAAGUGAGAGUAACGAAUGGGAAGAGAAGAGAAUCUCACACACAAAAUGGGACCACUGACGUAGAGGAUGAGUAAAAGCACGAGGGGAAAACGGUGGAUGGGAAAUAAUAUUGUGGCUACUAAACAUUUUCUCAAAUUUCUCUUAAUUUUCUAUUUUUACAUCUCAUGAAUGUGAGUUUUUUUAUGAAAUAACCUCUUCUUAAAAAAAAUCCAAUCUACUAUAGUUUUUUAGAAAACAAUAUAUAUUUUUUUAAAUGGGGAAAUAAAAAGAAAAAAAAACAAAGUCAGAAAAUUAUCUAGAAAAUAAGGUCAGAAAAUUAUCUAGAAAGUAAAGUCUAGCAUCAGUUAGUAGGAGAUUCCGCAAAAGACCAGUACAUCACAUUAUUACUUGUUUCAUAUUGUGCCAGGUAAUUGGAGUCGCUAUCGGGGUUUCGAAUCAGAUAACGAGGAAACCGGGACUGAACAAAAGAAUGGCCUCACCCUCAAAAGGGGAGAGAAAUGGCAAAUUAGAAGAGUCGAUACCGAAUUUUAUUUUGAUUUCCUCUAUGGGAGAGAAGAGGGGAAACUGUCGAUAAAGCUCUCGAAAGAAAAAGGUGUGCACAGGAAGCGCCAAGGUACGGAUAAAGAAUCGAUCUCGCAACCGAGACUUGGGUUCGGAAGUCGGUUACGCAAGGAAAAAGUAUUAGCACCCCUCACGUCCAUAGUACUCCAUGGGAACCAUUUUUGUUGUUUAUGUAUGUGGGUAUUUAUUUGUUUAUUUUUAUUUACUCUUAUUUGCAAAAAUGAAUGUGAAAGAAAGUGUUUUGGGUUUUUUAUUAUUAUUCUCGUCAAGUAUUGUGGCCCUUGUGCCUACAUAUCACUCAUCGAGUGAUGAGGAAUCAGAGCUCCGUAGUUUGGAGUAGAAAGUGUUUGUGUCUGGUUGAUUUUACCUUUGAAAAAAUAGUUUUCGGGGUGGUACCUUAAGGCACAAAAAAUAAGGUUUGAUGGGUUGUAUUGUUUUUACCUUGAAUAAGGGUUUACGAAAAAGAGUUUGUGAUUAGAUUGUACUAAAGUCUAUGGGCGGGGGUGAAAAUUCUAGAUAACAAGUCAAACGUCUUGCAUCCAAUAUAAUCAGAGUAAGGGUAGAAAAGCUCCAUUCUUACUUACUCUCCACCACUUAAGACUCGUGAUGCACAAUACUAAUCACAGUUUUAAUGUAUUUUGAAUUUGAUUAGGAAAAUGUCACUAGAUGUUGGAUCAAUGAUUUGUUUAUUUGAUUCUGAAAUUGGGUAGUGUAACGGAUAUACAAAGUAACCAACAAGGAAGUAAAUAGUCUCAUUGUAAUGUAGCCCAAGAGAAAGCUUUGUGCGUGCUAAAGUAACCUAAUCUAAACAAAUGAUAAUGGUCUUACAAACAUGUCCCCCUAGGGUGGUGCCAUGAUGUCAUUCUUACAACUGCUAUGCAAGUUAUAGAUGAAAUCCAAAGUUAACAGAGUACCACAAAGAUAUGGAAAGUUCCUCCAAGCAAAGGUUCUAAAUGAGAUCCUCUAAGUUCAAGUUGAUUAAGUGGAAAGAAUCUUCUUUGAUCUUAUCAUUUUAUCAUGUUUUUAUUGUUUUUAAUGUAUGAUAAUAAUAAAGAUAAAUGACAAUAAUAAACAUGCAUGAUGAUGAUGAGUAAUUGAAUAUAAAUUACAAGGUAAUAACAUAAAAGUAAAUAACAAAGUAACAAUGAUAAAAUCACAAUAACAAUGGCUAGUGGUAAUCAAAGUUAGUAAAGUUUAAGUGUGGUUAGUAUUUUGCACAAGUUCAACAUUUGAGGAUCACUUAUCCGUAGGUCAAAAGAUUCAAAAUAUGGCGCAUCAGGGGAUAACUUAUCCCUGAUGCAAAGUAUUGAAGAUGAUCAAAUGAUCAACUUACAACAGAUUUGUAACAAUGAAAGUUAUGCAAACCCCAAGUCCAUCUAUCAAUAGCUUGAGAAAAGGAAGACUAUACCAACUCAAGGGUUAAAGGUUAAUGUUUUGAUUAAAUGAUUAAGUUAGACAAGUUAUAAAGAUCAAUGUACAAUAUGAACAAGUUAACAAAUGUCUAGGGGGUUAGUAUAACAAUAGAAACAACAUUGAACAAAAUGAAACCACAAAUUAGUAUGUACAUAAACAAAGCUCCAACUAUGUGUCACAUGAUACAAGUUUGGUUGAUAUAAAGGCAAUCUAUCUAUGCCCCAAAGUAUCAUGAAUGAUCUAUUGAUCAUCCAUUAAUAGUUUUGAAGCAUAGAAGGUUCAAUGAACCUUAACCAAUCCAAUAUCAUGACAACAUAGACUUCAUUAGCUACCCAAGUUCAAGAUCUCAUAAGUAAAUGAAAAAUUACUCAAAUAAAAUGAAACAAAGUAUAAUAAAAUAGUAGAGGUAAAAAUAACAUGAGUUUUUGUUGGGAAUAUUUUUAGAAAAAUAAAUAUAAGUGGGAUAAAAAAUAAAAUGAAAUGGAAAAUAAAUGGGGUGAAAAAUAAAUAAAAUGAAAGGGAAUAAAAUAAAAAGGAACAAAAUACAUGUGUUGGGGGUUGAACCCCUGACCUUCAACCCCCUCUCCCACUAGUCCAAGCGCCCACUUGUGAUCAAAAGUGCAUUAAUGAAAUAAAAUAUUAAAACAAAAGUUAAAAUGAAACACGCACUUGAUUUAACCAAUCAGAAGUUGCCAACAUAUUUUUUCAAGUUUGAAGCACGAAGAACACGCGUGAAUGGAACUCCGUCUUCAACCUUGAGACCUCAUAAUCAAAAUCCAAAAACACGUAUUUUUCAUGGAAUUUAACACAUGGAAUCAAUCCCUAUGCAUGACUACGAACUAACCUCCACACUCAUGAGCCAUUGAUUGGCUCUGAGUGUGGACUAUUUCCCAGAAACUCAGAUGAAUACAUUUGACCUAAACAAAAAAUUAAAUGCUUGAUAAUGAUUAAUCAGAACUCAAAACAAGGGGUUAAUGAUCAGUGGGUGAUUUCGAGUUGAAUGGUAACUUGUUUGAAUGAAGGGGUGAGUGAAACUACCUUAUCGAAAUCGGUUUUAGGUAUGAACUCCUAUUAGUUGGUGCAGCUCAUGUGAGGUGUUGGGAAGGUGAGUUAAGGUUUGUAAAAGUUUCAGUGAUGUUCAAGGAUGGAUUCUAGGUGGUUGGUUUGGGUUGAAAUGCUUUGGAUCUCAGAAAUCGAUUCUCUAUUUUUGAAGAUGGAAAUCGAUUUUGCAGCAUAGUGUAUUUGGCUUUUGAAGAUUGGUUUCUAAGUGAGACAUCUUCCCCUAUUUAUAAGGAAGGUGAUGGAAUGGUUUGGAGGGAAGAAUGAGAGGGCUUUGUUCAAAAAGGUGUGAAGCUCGAAGAGGACAAAAUGGGAGGCUUGUGGAGGAAGCAUUGCUGAGGUUCUGACCUAAUUUUCCUUCCCAUUUGGUUUGUCUGCACUCUAGCAUGGAAAUGGAAGGGCAAGGGUAGUUCAAACAUGGUUGUGGUCCCUUUUUCUUUUUGCCAUUUUUGAGAAAAACAGAAUUUUGCACAUGGCUUGGGUUCCUUCAUUUGUGAACUUUUUCCAUCCAAGUUGACUUCCAAACAUAUCAUACUAUGAUAUGUAAUAUGUUAGGGGUCAAAAGGAACCAGAUUGAAAUGGUUUGAGGACUUGGUGGAUCAAAUUGCAAGUUCUGACUGACUUGGUCUGGCUUGUGCAUCAGGAUGAUUUCCAAUUUUUAAACCAAGGCCAAAUGAAAUUGGCUCGUGCAUUUUGCAUGAAAUUUGUGUCAAAUGUUCCUUUCCAUGUUUUUGAUCAGAUGCAAAAAGAACUAGGUCAAAAGGAGUUGUGGUUUGGAAGUGGAAAUAUGGUAAAGUGGUGGUUUUGGUCAUGUUUUAGGGCAUGCUAGACACAUUGGACCAGCUUGGCCAAUGCAAAAAUUGAGGUCCUUGCUCAAUGAAUCAGGUCUUGGACCUUGAAACAAAGUUGAAGAGGAAUUCAAUUAGGACAUUUGACUCAAAGAAGAUCUUAAAAAGCUUCCAAGAUGAAAAAGUUAUGGACUUUGGACUAAAUCAUAUGCCAUUCUUGCCAAAAUGUGAGCAACCAACAUGACAUAAAAACGUGACUUUGUGAUUUCUUGAUUUUCAAGGCACAAUGGUGGGUGUUUGAAGCUCAUAUGAUCAUACCAUGAUGUAGAAUUAGGCUUGGAGCUUUAUGGAGUGAUUUUAGGUCUAGUUCAUGGGUAAAAUCAAGGCAUUAAAAGUCCAAAGUUCAUGACUAAACCAAGUAAUUGUAACAUGAAUUGGAUGAGUGUUUGAAUGGUGAAUUAUGGUUAAAAAUGACUUAAAUUGACGUUGAAUGAGUGGCGGUGUGAUAUGGUGAUCAAGUGAAGCAAAUACAAUGAUCAAAGAAUGCUCAAAUUAGGGUUUCUUGAAUCAUAAGUUUCAUCAAGAAGCAAGGUCAGACAAAUUAUGGUUUGGUGAUGCAAGGGAUGUAUUGAGAUGUUUCAAAGGAUUGGGGUACGCAUAAACUUUGGAUUUUGGGGAUCCUCAAUGACAUGGUCAAGAUUCAAGGUGAACUAUGACUUGUACAAGCUAAAUAGGGUCAAGAGCUAAGGCUAAGGUCCUUGGGUGAUCAGAUGAAUCUUGAUGUAUCUUCAAAGGGGACCCACCAUCCAAAUUAGGUUUGGAGAGUGGGUGAGAUGACUUGAAUGAUCCUCCAAGAUUGUUGGAUGCUUGAGGAUGAAGAUUAGGGUUAAGGUGGCUUGGGGACACCUCAAUAUGAUCAGAGGGUCUUGAGUUUCACAGAUGAACCCUAUGUCUUUGGUUUGUGGAACGUUGUGGAACAUUGUGGAUUAUUAAGUUAAAAAUGCAUAUGAUAUGACAUGUGUGGGAUGUAUGCUCUUAAAUUAAGGUUAUAAAGGGUGAUGCGGAGAUAGGGUAAAUUUGAGGGCAUGACAAAUGCCCAUAUUUUAUCUUCUCGGACCUGAAUGUAUGGAUGGCAACGACUUCCAAUGCGUUCAAGGUAGGAGAGUAUUAAAUAUUAAAAAGAGUAACCGGAAAUUUACCUUGUUUGGGAUGAGAGUGAUAUGAUUUGAUAGGGAUUAUAUAUGGGAAAGUAUCUAUGGGAUGGAAAUGAUCUUAAUAUGAGACCAAUUGAUAGGGAAAUGAAUAUGGUUAUGAUGAUUAUGCAUGCGAUGCGAUGUAUCCAACAUAAGCAUCCUUUCAAAAAGGAAAGUUUGGUGGCUAAACUCCAAUAAUAAAGGUAGGGAAUUAGAUCUACCGGGGGAUGAGAAGAAAAAGUGACUGCCCCUAGCAACGGUUGGGGAUAAAAAUAAUUGUGAUUCCUAUCAACGGCUGUAACGCCUAACUCUGAUGGGGAAUUCUAGACACAACGAUGAUUUCUAGCGACGGCUGAAAUACCUAACUCUGUGGGGAGAAAAGAGGUUCAGUGACGAUUCCUAGCAACAGCUGGAAUACCUGACUCUGGGGGAAAAAGAAGUCGUUCAACAACGAUUCCUAGCAACAAAUGGAAUACCUGACUUGACUUGGGAUAAAAAAACCAAAGGGCUCAACGAUGAUUCGUAAUAAUGGCUAGAAAUACCUGACUCUAUUUGAGGAUAAUUUUAUUAGGGAACAAUGACGAAUCUCAGCAACGGCUAGAAUACCUGACUCUGUUGAGGAAAUAAGAAGUUCAACAACGAUUCCUAGCAAUAGCUGGAAUACCUAACAUUUAUUGGGGAGAUCAAAUAAUUCAGUGAUGAUUCUUAGCAACUGCUAGAAUACCUGACUCCGUCUGAGGAUGAUUAAUAGUUCAGCGAAGAUUCUUAGCAACAACUAGAAUACCUGACUUAUACUAGGGAAAGAAGUUCAAUGAUGAUUCUUAGCAACGACUAUGAAUAUCUGACUCGGUUGGGGAACAAGUUCAAAGAUGGCUCUUGCCCUAGGAAAUUCAGCGAUGAUUCCUAGUGAAUGCUAAGAACACCUAACUUUGGUUGGGGAUAAAUGAAAAUAUAGUGAUGAUUCUCAGCAACAGUUGGGAUAUCUGACUCUACAGGGGAGAUAAGUCCAGUGAUAUUUCUUAGCAAUGACUAGAAUACCUGACUCUUUUGGGUAGAACCUGAGAGGAAACAAAGUAGUUUAGUGACGAUUCCUAGCGACAGAUGGAAUACAUGACUCUACUUGGGAAUGAAAAUUGACUUUACUGAGGAAAAUCCAUAACAAUGGCUAUGAAGUUCCAAAAUCUAAUAGGGGCAAAACCCUAGCGACGGUCGGGACAGUCGGAAUUUUGAGGAAUUUAAUUAAGUAAGAUUGGAAUGUGAAACACAGAGGACACUUAUGAUGCAAUGUUAUAUAUGCGAGAUGUUGAUGUAUGUUCAGGUUGUUGGGGAAUAUGCAAAUGCAAUGUUUGCAAGUUAUGCCAAGUAUGAUUAGACUCUGUGGGGGAUAAUGUGUUAGGAAUGCCAAUGAUAAUUGGGCUUGGAAUUUGAAUGGGAGAAAAGACUGACUUCCCGACAUCAGAUCCUGGAUCUUCUUAUGUCUUUUCUUUUACUAGGGAUCCUUCUGCUGAGGAAUUCGUGAUUGGACCAAGUCCAAUGGGAUUUGUGGCGUUGCAGUGUUGAGAUAUACCAAGCAUGUUGGACUUUGGUCACCUUUGGAUACUUUGAAAGAGAAGCAAUUUCGAUGUUUUUCUCUUAAAAGUUUGUUUCGUUUUUUUUAGUAAAAGUUUGUUUUUUACCCGAAAUGUUCUACUGUAAUGUCAAUUAAAGAACAUUCACUCUUCAAAAACAAGACAGGAAAAGUAAAAAUAUUGAGCGCGUAUGAUGGAAUCUAUUUUUAUUGAUAAAAUAAUCCCAAGAAUGAGUGAUUUGUACAAGGAAACAAUUCCUAGAAGAGGUGAUUGCAAAAAGAAAUUGAAAAACUAUAAUGGCAAUGGAAAUAACUCGGAUUUCCAGCAAGUUCCAAUUUUUUUAUAGUCUUUAUACCCUUGAAGGUCCUUAUAUCUUGCUUCAGAAGAAAUGUGAUUGGAUUGACUCGCUGAGGAGUGUAGAAGAUUCUUCGCGGAAUGCAACCUCUCGCUUUUAUAAAUCCCUAAUUUUUGCCUAGACUGUCCUUUCAGGUUUUCAAUCUACCGGGAUACCCAUUUUUGCUUAAGUCGCUUUUUCGGGUUUUCAACUUAUCGGGCUCUUUUCUCUCCUUUUUUCUUUAUGCAUAGUAUUUUUUUACUGCAUCCGCGUUUACAGGGUACGGAAGAUCUUCAUCAUCCAUAGUUGUAAGGAUUAAAGCUCCUCCAGAGAAAACCUUCCUUACAACAUACGAACCUUCGUAAUUCGGCGUCCAUUUGCCCUUAGGGUCAAUAUGAAUCGAUAGAAUCUUCUUUAAGACUAGGUCUCCAGCCUUGAGGUUGUGAGGAAAGACCUUAUUGUCAUGUGCCCUCUUGAUUAUAAUGACCCCCUUGGUCAAGUCUCCCUUGUAGUUGGAAAGUAGUGGACCGAGUGGCUCUAUAACCUAUCAUAGUUGGAAGAUUUGGAAACCAGUGAUCUGGGAAACUGAAAAUUGGAGUUAAUCUACUAUGAUAGGAGCAAAUAAAAAAUAGAGAUAUGGUGCUCGAUAUUAGGGAAUCUGAAUUCCUAGGUUCGAGAAGGUUUGGUUCGAUGAAUCGAGAGAUGUAUAUUCAAACGUGGAAAUGGUGGAAUCAAUUAUUGAUUCUCAUAUACUGUGCCAUUACUCUGCGUAGGAACCUAAAUUUAUCAUAUAAUGGAGGUUUUGAAUUACAUCAUUGUACUUGAGCUUUCGAUGUGAUGAGAAUGAGGCUUAUCUAUAAGGUUAACACUCGAAUGCCCAUAUCAGUAUGAGAGUAAUAUGAGUGAAUGAAGUUUGAAUUUGAGUUGUAUUUGGGAAAUGGUGUGCUUCCUCUUUAUAUAGUAGAGUUAUUAUAACAACUUUACUGAUCUUCAGAUGUAGGAUGUUGGGAGUCGUCAGAUAGACCCUGGAUUCAGAUAUCUUGCCCUUCAACCCAGGAUAACACUCGCACUUUGUAAGUGCCCUUGCGGGUUAUUUCCUUCUCUGGGUCGGGGAUGUAGGAUCUUCUGGUUGGCCCAUAACAUAGGGAAUGCCACACCUAUCAUAUUGGUUGCAUACCCUCUUAUCUUUAUCAGGGGGAAUACCCCCUAAUUAUAUGAAGGUCCCACGACAAUCAAAGCCUAGUAAAAAAUGCCCUUACGAAUAAAUGCAUAAACGAUUCUCAAUAUGUCUCGAUCUACCCAGUCACCUGAGAUAUUCCUAUAUGUCUUCCUAGUCAAGGUUGAUACAAUCUUUGUGAUUUAAAAUGUUAGAAAUAAAGGACAUUUUUUCAAGAGAAAAAAAAGAGAAAUCAAGUGAUUUGUCGUUCCUAAAACCCUUGAAAAGGAGAACAAAGGCAAAAGGGAAGAGUUAAAAAUUUAUCUUAGAAGAUGGAUCAAUCAAGCAUGCAUGACAAACACCAACAAAACAGAUUGUAUAAACUUAAUAAAAUGCUGGAACAAGAACGCUUGUAGAGAAAAAUGACAAGGAAGUAGGAAAAAGUAUUUUGCAGGUAGUUAAUAUAGCAUAAAAGGUAAAAAUGAUGCUUCAAAAGCCUUUUAUAUCCAAUUUGUCCACUGAGGAUCGUACAAUCCACUGCACACUACCAAUAUCUGCGCACUACCAAUAUCUGAGAUCUCUUAAAAAACCAUUUGAAAAGUCUCAAGUGCUAUAAAAGGAAAGAAAACUUCAUCAGUAACUAGUGUAGGGAGAUGUGUCAAUCACUCCCAACGAAACAUUAUCUCUUACAAGAAAGGAAUUUAAUGCACAUAUCCCAAGAACAUCGGCGUCCCAUCGAAGACUUCUCCAUCCACGAAUUUUGUUGUCGAGUAAGACUAUAUGUCACAAAAACCUCAUUGUGCAAAGUAGAAACCAGAGCUUAUAGGACAAUUAUUCUAGACCACCCACACGACAUAAUGAUAAAUACUCAGUAUAUAUAAAAGAUUGUAGAUUGAAGAGUAAAAAUAAAUUUUUGUUAAAAUAAUAAAGAUAUAAGUAAACAAAUAAAUUGACAAGCUAAAAGCUAAAAGUUUAAAAACUAUUUCAAAUAACUUUUGAGAAAAAGACAAAAGUUAAUAGAAAAAACUAUAAAUUAAAAGUUAAAUGAUAAUUACCAAACACAAUUUUUUUUUAUUAAUAUAGGUUGAAAAACUAAAAAUCAAAAGUAUUUUUUUUUGUGUGUUACCAAACAAACUCUAAAUUAAUCUUACUAAAGUAUUGGAAGACAUUACACAUUUAUUAAAUUAAUUUUAUUAAAAUAUUAAAAGUAGUAUAUUAAUCAUUACUAUAUUGAAAAUAUAAAAAUGACAAUCAUUUUUAAAUUAAUUUUAUUUAUUAAAACGGAAGUCAUUUUGAAGGGAGGGAAUAGGUAUGCAAAUAGAUCAAGCAUUUAAUUUAUAAAUUUUAACCAUGUAUAGCAUAUUAAAUGUCAUUUUUUUGAUUUUUUAUAUAUAUCAACAAAAUUAAUCAAUAUUAUUACUUUUAAAACAAUAAUUAUUCUUUUAUCUAUAAUAUCUUUAUUAGAUUUAUUUAUUUUUAUUUUAUUUUUGUAAUAAAUACAUAAGAAUAAUUUUAACAAAAAUGCAAUUAAUACUAUUGAAUUAUUGAAUUUUGUAAGAUGAUAAUUAAAAAGAAAUAAAAAAAAUAUGACAUUUAAAUAGAAUCGGAAUAUAUAAAUUAGAUAUCCAAACAUGAUCCAUCAUUUUCACUUGGUUACUUUUGAUAGAUGUCACCGGUAGAUUUCUACAUAAGUAUUGGUCCAACUAAUUCUGAAACAAAGGUCAAAAUGUGAGUGAUUAUGGAACCUGAACCAAUUUGCAAGCCAGAUUUUGGAGUGAAUACAUUGUGUAAUACAAGAAGCAUUUUAUUAUAAAUAAGGUUGUUCGACGAAGAAGGAAUUCACUUUUCACUCAUCCCGUUUUACAUGUUUAUCCAUUCAACACCCCCCUUCCUCUCUUCCAUUUCUUAACAAAUCUACAACAGACUUUAACAACAUUUAGCACACAACAAAGCUUCACAUUCUAAAUACACCAUAUUUGGUAUUUUCUAUGGGACGGUUCAAGGAAGCUGAAACACAUAGACCAAUUAUUUUUCUUGUAUCAGCUGGAUCAAUAAUUCCAUCAUCCCAAAGCCUCGCCGUUGAGUAAUAAGGACUUCCUUCUCUCUCGUACGCCUCAACUACUUUUCUUUUGAACUUUUCUUCCUCCUCCUUGUUCCACUGUAUUACAAUUUACCAGCACAAACAAAGACAGAUGAGACUAACCGUUAAUUUGUCACUAGGUAAGAUAAUCUUCUCGAUAACAUUGUUUUUUUUACCUGAAUUCCUUGCUUUUUCUUACUGCCUUUCUCUACUUGUGCCAGAACACCAGCAGCCUAUGAAUAUGAACUAAGGAUCAAUCAAGUCUCCAAGUUCAAAAAUUUGUAAGAAAUUAUUACUUGAGAGAUAAACUACCUGAGCACCACCCAUCACUGAUAUUCUCGCAUUAGGCCAAAGGAACAUGAAGUUUGGACUAUAGGCACGGCCACACAUUGCAUAGUUUCCGGCACCAAAGCUUCCACCAACAAUUAUAGUGAUUUUAGGUACCUGUGGCAUAUAUUUAUUCAAAGCAAAAAUGUUCAUUAGUCCUUUUUAAAAAUAAUUCGGUUUGUUUCAUUUCUCUUGUAUCUUCUAGUCUUUGCUUUGAAUUGGUUUAACAUCCUCACCGCCCCAAAGUAACACAGUGCAGCAAAAAAAAGGCAAUACAAUACAAGUAACUGUAACGAAUGUUAUAAGUAGUAUGCUGUGGAAUCCACAAACCUUUGCGCAAGAUACAGCCAUCACCAUUUUCGCACCAGACUUUGCUAUGCCAUUUGCCUCGGAUUUUGAGCCCACCUACCAAAGAGACACGUGUUACAGUAUCAUUCUUCGUCAAAAACUAUGACUGUAAACAGGACAAAAAAUGAUGGAUGAAGUGUAUUUGUCAAUCACUUCAUAAACCAAUCCAGUGAUUUUGUGAGGAAAGAAAGAACCAAUCUACUCAGAAAUCAGAAUAUAAUGACACAAUGGAUCAUAAUCAGAGAAACUGAAGAAAAACUUGAAUUCAUACCAUGAAUCCAGUGAUGUUCUGAAGGAAGACCAAGGGAAUGUUACGCUGAGUACAUAAUUCAAUGAAAUGAGCCCCUUUCAGAGCAGAUUCAUUAAAUAAAAUCCCAUUGUUUCCAAUAAUUCCUACAGGCUGUCCAAAAAUCCUAGCAAAACCUGUAACAAGAGUCUGCAUCGACAACCAAUAAAUGUCCGACAAAUGAUACAGGUACAAAUAAAUAAAAAAUAUAAGUUCCAUAGCAACCCAUGCACAUAAAAACAAUGAUUAAACAGGUAGAAAGUGAAGUGAAUAAGCCCUCACAGUGCCAUACAGUUUCUUGAAUUCAUCAAAUUCACUUCCAUCAACAAUACGAGAAAUCACUUCUCGGAUAUCAAACUGCUGCUUGAGAUCAACGGGAGCAAUAGAACGAAGUUCAUUAACAUCAUAUAGUGGCUCUUUAUAUUCAUAAUUCAUAUUUUGCAAUCCAUUUGCUGAGACAUCUCUCCCAGCCAUAUGCAAAUUCUUAACAAUGUCCCUCCCAAGUGCAAGUGCGUGAAGUUCAUCUACAAGAAAACAAAACAUGUAUAAUGUCACUAAUACAAACAGAGUUGAUUUCCUUAGUUAUCACAUUUUCUAUCCACUUAGACGUGCGAGAGAGAAAUUAUCAUUUGUGAAUACCUUGAGCAAAAUAGUCUGAAACACCCGAUGUCUUGCAGUGCACAGCAGCACCUCCUAAAUCCUCUGCAGAAACUUCUUCUCCAGUGGCAGCCUAUAAAAUCAUUCAGUUAAUGUUAAUUAAGUCAUAGACACGCAGAAGAGACAAGGUCUAUAUUGGGGAGUCCGGGGAGGCCACAUAUCAGACUAACUUUGAUCCAUACUAGGAUUCCACUUCCGCUCUCCCACCGAGCCUAACCACGGCUCUGAUACCACUUGUUGGGGAGUUCGGGAGCCGUAAGUGUCAAUGGUCUAAUUGUUCAGGAUCCAAUAGACCUCGACACCACAUAUCAAGGCAGAACCUUAAAGCAUCAGAUUUAUGGGUCCUUUCUCUUAUAUACCCAACAUUUCCUAUAUUUUUAUUUGAUGUGGAUUAAGUGGACUUAACCACUCACACUUGAAUGCGAACCGCUUAAAAUUACAAGAAUCAAUACAUAAAAAUUAGUAGCCAGAUAGUAUCACAGAAAGGACAUUGGAGCAUAAGAGUGUCCGGAGCUAACCUUAACAAGAGGCGGCCCUGCCAAAAAAAUAGUGCCAUUUCCCUUGACCAUGACGCUUUCAUCCGCCAUAGCAGGUAUAUAGGCACCACCAGCCGUGCAAGAACCUAACACCAAAGCAAUUUGAGGAAUCCCCUGAGCAGACAUUAUAGCCUGAUUAUAAAAUAUUCUCCCAAAAUUCUCCCUGUCCGGAAACACAUCAGCCUGCUUCGGAAGAAAAGCGCCACCACUGUCAACGAGAUACACGCAUGGCAAAUUGCAUUGAGCAGCAAUCUCCUGUGCCCUGAGAUGCUUCUUAACAGUAAUAGGAUAAUAAGUCCCUCCUUUAACAGUAGGAUCAUUCGCCACAAACAUACAAAGUCUUCCAUGAACCGGACCUAUCCCGGUCACAACCCCACCAGAUGGUAAAGGCUCUUCAUAGAGCUCAUGUCCUGCAAGCUUCAUCAUCAUCAUGACUCAAAAGUUCAAAUCUUUCUUAGAUAUACACAUUAUCAUUCCUGUACUUAAAGUAAUAAACUUUCCACAAAACCCAACUGAAUGAUAAGUAAAAGAAAUGAAUAAGAACCUGUGAGAGCUCAAGGAAGGAAGAACCGGGAUCAAGGAUGCGAUCGAUUCUUUGUCUGGGAAGAAGCUUGUUUCUACUACUGUUCCUUUUGACAGCUUGUGGUCCACCACCAGCAAGGACGUUAUGGACGUGAGAUUGGAGCUGAGUGAUCAAGUGUUCCAUGGCUCCGCCAUGGGGAAGGGCACCCAAACACAACCCUCUUUUUAACAGUAAAUUGGAGGAUAUCCAAUUUGCUUUUCUUCCAAUUAUUCUGAUCAUAUUUUAUCUUCUUCUCCUACGUGCUUGGUUGCUAGAGAAUUAAUAGUAAUGGCGUGGAAUCAUUGAACUCUGCUACAAACACAUUCUCCAGCUAAUUGUGUCUAUCGGAUCAGAGGAUGAUGAAUAAAAAAUAUGUUGAUAAAAGCCCCUUGGAUAAUCUUGCCACGUACUUUCUUUUUUCUUUUGGAGUGUCUGUUUCGGAAUUGGAUCCUAUUUUAUAUACCAUCUCUCGUAUUGGUUUGGAGUUUAAAUUUUUACUCAAUUAAUCAAUUUAAAAAAAAAUAAAAAAUAAUUAAUUUUUCAGAUUAAUUCUCAAACUAUUCCACUUUGAAGAAGAAGUGACGUCAGAUGAAUUAGUGUAGGCUUUCUAAGUUAAAGAGAUGACGUCAAUUGGAUUGAUUAGUGCAUCUGGUAUUGUCAAUCCAAUUGGCGCCUAUGUGUAAAAAAUGAGAGGAGACGUCAAUUGGUCCGGCGUAUCUGUAUAUUGCGUAAUUUUUUUUUGAAAAAUAAUGUACGUAUUAGAUAAAAAUCGAAAUCUGUCAAAUUGAUAUUAAUAUUAAUAUGUGUUUACAUACGAAUACCACAAAGACUAAUGUCGUUGGCCGGGAUGACCUAACCGACCUCCGGUACCACAUCCUCUAGCUACCCAAACGCGUGACCCUAAUCCACAUUGAUGCGAGUUGGUUCUUUGGAAACAUACUUAAAGACAAAAAGAUUAGAAGUAUCGAGAGACUCGAUGUCUUACGUGGAUGGGUGCAAGUAAAAAAUGAUAAGGAUGUUAUGGAAGUGAUGUUUUGACCAAAUGAUAUCAGUUUGAUUGUUGUAAUCGGUUAGAAAUGUUAUUUUUAAAUGUUGUGGUUGUCGCACAAAAAGUUAAUUGUUGACCAAAAGUCAAAUGUUGUAUAAAUGGUCAAAUUUGUAGUCUUUGUACAUGUAUGGACUUUGAAUGUAAUUAUAUGAAAUGAUAUUUGAUAUUUGAAUGCAUUGACUAUUGACUGUUUGAAAUGAAUGGUAUGGAUCUGAAAGAUAUUGAUAUGAAUGAACAUGAUAACAUGAAUCAAUAGACACAAAUUUUGAAUGAAUCAAUACCUAAGGACCAAAAUAGAUAAUGAUUUGGACCUAUCCAACGAUUCAUGGAACAAACACCAAUGAAAAUGACAUGAAAUAGACUAUGUGAUGAACUUGAUGAAUACCUAAUCAUGGAUCAAUGAGCAUGACCAUAACUUAACUGAACAAUGUCAAGCAUGAAACAAAAACUCUAGCAAGGCCUAAGACGUACAAUGAAUUAGGUCAUAAUCAAAGAUUCAUGGACCAAACAACAAUGACAAUGCAAAUGGCAUGAAUGACAUUGGCCAGAUGAAAUAGAUUAGGCAUGGACUAAGCAUGAGGAUAUGAUCAGAUGCAAUGCUAGGGAUAAAUUGAAUCAAGUGGAAGUUGUGAUGCCAUGAAAAUGGGCUUGAACCAAUGAACAUAGACAAGCAAAAGAUGAACAUGUAAGACCAAUAAGUGAAUGCUAAACAUAUCAAAGAAACCUCCAUAAUAGACCAUGAACAAGUGGGCCUUGAAUGUAUCUUGACCGAACAAGUGAAGCAUACACAAUGGAUGAUGCAACAAUCAUAUGACUACCAAACACCACAACAAUCAUUUCAACCUUUCCUCGACGCAUCAUUCACACCAAUGUCUCCCUUCAAUCGUCCUGGUCGUCCUCCAAUAACUCAAACACAUCCCAACUACUAUGACAUGCGUCACGAACUCAGCUAUGGCGGCAUCGCUUCAUUGCAGGUGGUGGUGAUGUUCCUGCGUCCUCAAAUCCUCAAACACCUGGGGUGAAUCAUCAACGUGGGUUAGGGUCACGCGUUCGGGUAGCUAGGGGAUGUGGUACCAGAGAUCGGUUAGGUCAUCUCGGUCAACGACAUUAUUCUUUAUGGUAUUCAUAUGUAAAGGCAUAUUAAUAUUAAUAUCAAUUGAUCUGGUUUCGAAUUUUAUCUAAAAGCAUACAUUGUUUUUCAAAAAAAAUUACACAAUACACAGAGGCACCAGACUAAUUGGCGUCUCCUCUACUUUUUUACACAUAGGCGCCAAUUGGAUUGACAACACCAGGUGCACUAGUCAAUCCAAUUGACGUCACUUCUUAAACUGAGAGAGCAUACGUCAAUUCAUCUGAUGUCACCUCUUCAAAGUGUGGUAGUUUGGGAAUUAAUCUGAAAAAUGGAUUAUUUGGAGAAUUUUUUUUUAAAAAAUGGAUUGAGUAAAAAUUUCGUAAGAGUUAAAUUUUUUUAAAGAAUAAUUAAAAUUAAAAAUAUAUAUUUAAAAAGAGAAAGAAUAUCAAUUCUACUAUCAUUUUUUUAAUUUCUUCUAACGUUUUUACCAUAAAUUUCUUUAGAAUUCAUCACUCUAUAAUCUAACAACUCAUAAAUAAAUAAUUUUCUGUUAUAUAUAUUUUUUAAAUAGAUACAAGAAUAUAUUGUUUUUUUUUGUUGAAAAACAAAACAAAUUAUAAUCUUUCUGAUAUAAUAUUCUGUUAUAUAUAUUUUUCAAAUAUUAAAGAUGUUUCCUUAUAAAUUACUCCAAAAUGUCUUAGUUGCAAAUAUUUUUAUAAAUUCGUUAACAUUGAAUAUUCUCAUUAAUUAAAAUUUAAAUGAUACCUAUAAUUAAAAUAAAAUAAAAUAUUAUAAUGAGACAAUUAUAAUCUCAUUAGUUUAAAUAAGAAUUACUAUUAAAUAUAAUUUAACAAAUUCAUCCCGAAUCAUUUCGUCCUAAAUAUAUAUUCUCAAUUAAAUACUAAUAAUUACUAAUAUCUCUAAUUCAAAAAAAAAACAUAAAUUGAUUUAAAAAUAACUUAAACAAUGUAUUUAAUGCACAUAAUCACAAAUCAUAAACCAAAAUUUAAAAUAUACAACAUAACAAAAGCAAUUAGAAUUAUUCGCAUAAAAGGAAUAACAUAUAACAAUAUAAUAUUUAUAAGCAAUGGAUAAAUAUCUUUUAUUAAUUCAUAAUUAAAAAAAUAAAAUGAAUAGAAACAAACCUUAUCCAAUCAAUAAUAAUGGUGGAGCCACUAUUUUUUGUUGAUAAAAAAUGGUGAAGUCAAGUCUCCUAAAAAUUUCUCAAUAAAUUUUUAUUUUCUUGGUAGUGAUAGAUAUAGAGAUUUUGAAAGUUAAAGCUAAAAAAAAUGGAAUUGGAAAAAUAUGGAAUCGUAAGAGAUAAAAAAAGUAGUUCAGUUAAAAGUGUUGUCACAUUCUCUCUUUACUUAAAUAUCUUUUUUUAAUUAAUUAUUCCUUAUAAUUUCUCAACUUUUAGAUAAGGAAUAAGAUCAAUGAUAGAAUACAUAAACACAAGAGAUGAUGAAUUCCGUUUGUUUCAUAUACUUUUGCAAUUUUCUUUUACCUAAUUUAACAUUCAAAAUAACAAAAAAAUUUAAUAAAAUUCUCCAAAAAUAAACAUGUUUUUUAUUAAUUUUUAAACUUUGUUUCAAAUAAUUUUUUUUACAACACAAGUCAAUUGAAAUGUGUUUGCAUUGGAUAAAUUAGCGGUCAAGUCAAUUGAAUUGUCAUCUCUUAUAAAUUAAGUCAAUCCAAUUGACACCUAUGUAUUGCUUUUAAGAGGAGACGUCAAUUCAUAUGCCUCAUAUGAGUUGCAUUCUUCUUCUUUUUUAAUUUUAUUAAUUAAUUAAAAAAUUGAAUAAAAACUAAUAAUAUUUUAUUUAAAUUGGAUUUUAUACAAGAAUAUUUUGUACACUAACGUUGACGACUCACUUGAUCAUAUAUGUCACAGGUUCCACACCUUAUAAGUACCAUUUCUUGUACAUGUCUAUGUUAAUUCACCCAAUUAUUUGAUACGAGGUCCCUGGAGCAUCGUCAUCCUAGAUUCCCUAAUAAGUUACUGUAAUUCUAUGUAAUCUUGUGUCUGCAUUGGCGCGCUACCGUUACUGAGUUUGUUGCCCAUGUUGAACAAGUUGUGUUGUGUUGUUUGGGUUGAUGGGAUUAUUGGUGAACGACCCGGUCGAUUGAAUGUUGACAUUAGUGUGAAUGUUUCAUUAGAGAAAUGAAGAAAUGGUUGUUGUGGUGUUUGAUAGUGUAAAGACAAAGAGUCAGACAACAUACGAUCGCAAGUUUCGAUGAUGACAAAAGACCAUCAUGCACGUCUACAAACAAAUGAAACACAUUACCCACCAUAUCCUUUUCUACAUUUGUCUAAACCUAUUAUAAUGAUCAAAACCAUAUGUGGACAAAGUGUGAUCAUGACGAAAUGCAUGAAAAUCACAAAACACAGUUUUAUGCAGAUUUGAAGGCCUUGAGUCGACCAUAGGGGUCAGCUCAAAGCUCACGGGUCAGCGCAAAGCUCAGAGAGAGAUAGAGGAAGUCUUCAUCAGUCUAGUAGCGGAUUCGGUGGCAUUGAAGUGAAGGAUUCGGUUCGACUCGUUGUGUUUGAGAUCAGCCGGGCCGAGGGUUUGAAGAAC